rnacentral:rRNA from 1 species
UACGGGGGGGGCAAGCGUUGCUCGGAAUCACUGGGCGUAAAGCGCACGUAGGCGGCUUCUUAAGUCAGGGGUGAAAUCCUGGAGCUCAACUCCAGAACUGCCUUUGAUACUGAAGAGCUCGAGUCCGGGAGAGGUGAGUGGAACUCCGAGUGUAGAGGUGAAAUUCGUAGAUAUUCGGAAGAAACACCAGUGGCGAAGGCGGCCU